UUGAAUCAUAUACGUAUAUAGGUAAAAAACAAGAUUUGACGUGCAAAUAAUAACAUUUCAUUUUGUAAUAUAACUAUUUAUUUGCACUCACAAUUUAAAAUGUUUUAACUCACUAAUGAGUACUAUUUUUUAGAUAUGCAAAUAAGUUCGCAACUCGAAGGCUGAGUUGCGAUCGCUAUUUGGUUUUUAUCAAAAAAGUCAAUAACUGAACAACAAAAACAUUCACAAAACAUCGAUUGAUUUACAACAUCGUGUGGAAUUAAAGUCAAGAUGAGAACUCCAUGCAGUCCAGAAGCUCCAAGCGAAUACAAAUACCGUGUAUCAUGCGUUGUAUGGACACUAUUAUUUGGGUAUAUCCAAAAAGGAUCUUGCGAAAAUCUACGGUAAAAGCCAAUCUACCAUAUAUUCUUGGUUCCGUAAGUUAGAGAAAGAGGGUGUAAACCAGCGGAAAAAACGUGCUCAAGUUUACAAAAAGUUUCGAGUGGAAAUGAGAAUAUGGUUGGUUCAGUUAUACCAAAAGCAUCCAUUAUUAUUUUUGGAUGAAGCUAAAGAGAGAUUCCAGAAGCAAUUUAAAAUCAAUAUCAGCGUUUCAUCGAUUUGCUCCAUUUUACAUGAAGCCGGACUUUCAUGGAAGACUAUUGAAAAGAGAGCGACGCAAAUUAGGGAAGAAGAGAUUGUGAGAUUUAUGCGAGAACUUCUAGCAACUCCCUGGGAUAUCUACAACUUAGUUUUCCUGGAUGAAGUCAGUUUUGACAAUCGGGACAUGUUACGCCGGAAGGGGUAUGGUGUUGUGGGGCAAAAAGUGAUCUACAGCGGUGAGUUUUGUCGCCGCCCACGUUUAUCAUUCUUGUGCUUUCUUGGAGUUGAAGGCAUUCUAGACAGCUUUUGGACUGAUGGAACAUUCAAUCGCGUUAAUUUUUUUGAAUGUUGUCGAGAGUUUGCACUACGAAAUCCAAAAGUUCGUCAGUACCCAGGAUGCUAUUCGGUUUGGAUACUAGAUGGCGCAAAAAUUCAUUGCGAUGCAAAUAUCAUUCGGUAUUUGCGAUCGAUCGGCAUUAUUCCCAUAUUCCUUCCGGCGUACUGUCCCUUUUUUAAUCCUAUUGAGAUCGUUUUUGGUUUUGUCAAAAAACAUUUGCAAAGAAGACACCAAGAAAACACUCCAAUAAUGGGUGAUGUCUGCGAUGCAAUGAGCUUUUUCAAAUAAUAUUCCUGCCAAAAACUUUUUGCUCAUUGUGGUUACUUCCCUGGAGGACAUUUUUAUCCUGAGAAGGGACUGCAACAAAAUCCAAGCGAUUUAGGCUUAAGUGUAAUUCCUGAUUGACUUUAUCACAAUAUUUGCUGUUCUUUUUUUUCUUUAAAAUAAUGAAUAAAAUCGGAUUUGAGAUGAAAAUAUAAUCGGAUAUUUUAUUUCAUUUAAAUUACAUCGUUUUGUUCACUUUUGUUAAAUGUGAUCAACAUCUGGACAGUCAGUUACACUGUCAGCCAGGACUUUACUUACCUCUGUCUCCUCAGGGCGAACUGCAGAUUGGACAGCAAUAAUAAUUUCUUCAGCUGCUUUUCCUUUCGCAAUCAUUCCUUCCAAUUUACGAGCAACAUUCGAAAGAAUGGAAACCGCCGAAGAAAUGCCUUGAAAAACUUCCUCAACAUCUUUCAUCUAUCCUCCAUUUACAGCAUGAGCCACUGAUGCCCCCCGAUGAACAGAUUGUAGUCGGGCUGCUUCCGAGACGCCAGUCCACCUGAAAUACUUCGCAAGUGUCAAAGGACGGAGGCGACGGAGCAUUUUUCAUUUCCUCUUGUUUAUGCGCCGCUGACGAAUGAAUUGUGUUGGCCCAUAACAACCAGGAACUGUGAUGGCCUUCCAGUUCAGGAUGGUUGUUCUUCAACUCUUUUGCUAGAGCUGCAUCAUCCCGGGUCGAAUGAGCUCCCGAACGAUCUGGAUUGUUGGGUGCAAUUAACUGUUUGAGGACCAUUUGGUGUUGAGGGUUGGUUUCAACAUUUACCGAAUAUGCAUGAAUGAACAUUUUGAUUUGCUUGCCUCUCCAUGAAGUGAGCUGUCGAGGAGUGACUCCAGAAAUAGUGUAGGCCUUCCUUUUCAUUUGAUCUUGCAUAGUGACGAACUUCUCAAUAUCUUCUUGGUCCGGGACUUGCUUUUCAGCCCACUUUGGUCCAUCAUCAUCAAAAUUGAUUUGUCUCGAUACAUGCGCUACAGACAACUUCCAAAUGCAUUUAAUUACGUCCUCAACAGAAUCUCCAAAAACAUUCUUAGUUCCCACUUCUCUUGGGCGCAUCUGACCUCGAUAAAGCCGACGGAACAUUGUUGCUUUGAAAAAG